CAGCCGUAAACUAUGCGCGUUAGGUGUACUGGUGACCACGAGUCACCGGGUGCCGAAGGGAAACCGUGAAACGUGCCGCCUGGGAAGUACGGUCGCAAGGCUGAAACUUAAAGGAAUUGGCGGGGGAGGCACCACAACGGGAGGAGCGUGCGGUUUAAUUGGAUUCAACACCGUAAAACUCACCAGGAAGACUGUUACAUGAAAGCCGUGAUGAAGACUCUGCUAGAUUUUCAGAGAGGAGGUGCAUGGCGUCAGUGACU
rnacentral:rRNA from 1 species